UUUUUGUUAAAGGCAUAAUCCAACAUAAAAUACUAUAAUUUUCCCCAUCCCACAAGGAAAUCCAAUAUGCUCAGCCCCAUUGCAAUAUAUAACGGGAGCGAUGUAGUACACAUAUCAUAUAAGUUUCUUGUACAAACAUUAAAAUAAAUAAACUAAAAUUGAAAAAAAAAUCCAUGAAUAUUUCAAACUAUCAUUCUUCUACAUGAUUACAGACUAUUGUAACAGAAACCAACAAGUAAUCAGAAUUAACACCAUCUGAAAUAAUCGUAUCACGAAUAGAACAAAGCCCAGUGCUCGCAGUGUCGCUGUCCUAAACUAAUCAUUCUGAAGGAGGGGAAUAAUGUUGGCUUAAAUGUUCAACGACUGAAAAAAAAAAUCGAAUUCAUCAUACAUAAGAGUAUUUAUUCGUGGAUUUUUAUCGAAAUGCGAUAAAACAUGGGAGUAUCGGGGCAUUUGUUACUCAAUAUAAUUAUUCCUUUAUGCAUUUAAUGUGCUUUGUGGAAUUUAGGUCGCAAGCACUUCUUGUGAUGUUGACCAGGAAAGCCUAGGUAAUCUCACAUCAGAAUAGCAGAGGACAAUAUUACGUAUACGAAAUUUCAUACUGUGCAAAAGACGACUGAAUGGAGGGAAAUUUUUAUCACGGAUUGCUUCCUUUUAUUCCUGAUCAGAGUGAUUGUGUUGUGCGACAGUGACUUACAUCCAUGUGACUAUUGUUAGCGGGCGAUUAUAUCCAGUGACUAUUCUUAUUGAAUGGCUAUAUCCAGUGACUAUUCUUAUUGAAUGACUAUAUCCAGUGACUAUUCUUAUUGGGUGACUGUAUACAGUGACUAUUCUUAUUGGGUGACUAUAUCCAGUGACUAUUCUUAUUGGGUGACUGUAUCCAGUGACUAUUCUUAUUGGGUGACUAUAUCCAGUGACUAUUCUUAUUGGGUGACUGUAUCCAGUGUGACUAUUCUUAUUGGGUGACUAUAUCCAGUGACUAUCAUUGGAAUACUUAUAUAUCUAAUGUGACUAUUGGGUGACUAUAUCCAGUGACUAUUCUUAUUGGGUGACUAUAUCCAGUGACUAUUGUUAGCGGGCGAUUAUAUCCAAUGACUAUUCUUAUUGGGUGACUGUAUCCAGUGACUAUUCUUAUUGGGUGACUAUAUCCAGUGACUAUUAUUGGAAUACUUAUAUAUCUAAUGUGACUAUUGGGUGACUAUAUCCAGUGACUAUUUUUAGCUGGUGACUAUAUCCAGUGACUAUUCUAUUCGGGUGAUAGUGACUGGCGCAACCCACGUGUUUUGUGUGACUCACGCACGUUUCAUCUUACUUUGAGGGUUGUCGAGACGUCGUCAUCGACAGAUACUGCUCGAUCCUCUAGAAAAGUGCCGCCUUCAUAGGUCCCAGGAAGAGGGGUCUCCUGUCACAAGAGUACCAACAGAAGUUCUGAAUUACAUUUACAGUGAGAUUGUGUGCAGUUGUUUUGUAUUCAGACCAAUUAAUUAAUGGUCAUAAAGGGAUCAAUGGCAUAAAUUACAUGUAUAACCUAAAGUGACUGACGUGCUGGGAAACUAAGACCACGUGUCUAUAUGGAUUGUAACCCCCACCCCACGCACACUCACACAUCCACGAAUUUUGUAGCAAACUUUAAAGUUCAAUACCCACUUGGACUUUGGAGUGUGUAAGAUGGGGGAGGUUAAGAUGUUGAGUGCAGGGGAAGAUCUAGAAAUCAGCUGACGGAGAGGGGGGUCCGUACAGUGGGCUGUUUUCUCCAUACAAUCGUCUACUUUUUUACCAUUUAUCUUGGAUCCACAUGAAUUGGAUCCACCCCGUACGAACAAAUUUCAAUGAUUAUCUACAGCUCAUAGUCUGCCAGAGGAAAUAGAAACAAUUAAUGUCAGCGUAUUAUUUUAUGAUCUUUUUACUUUCGUGGAAAUCGAUGUUAUUCUACGAUGAAUGUGAUCAAUGUCACUGGAAAUAUCCUAUUGAUCCACAGACCAGUUAUAUAACAAAAUAUACAAAAUUAAACAGUCAAGCACUCUA